AUCAUGGCUCAGGAUGAACGCUAGCUACAGGCUUAACACAUGCAAGUCGAGGGGAAACGAUAGAGAAAGCUUGCUUUUUCUAGGCGUCGACCGGCGCACGGGUGAGUAACGCGUAUCCAACCUGCCCACCACUUGGGGAUAACCUUGCGAAAGUAAGACUAAUACCCAAUGACGUCUCUAGAAGACAUCUGAAAGAGAUUAAAGAUUUAUCGGUGAUGGAUGGGGAUGCGUCUGAUUAGCUUGUUGGCGGGGUAACGGCCCACCAAGGCGACGAUCAGUAGGGGUUCUGAGAGGAAGGUCCCCCACAUUGGAACUGAGACACGGUCCAAACUCCUACGGGAGGCAGCAGUGAGGAAUAUUGGUCAAUGGACGAGAGUCUGAACCAGCCAAGUAGCGUGCAGGAUGACGGCCCUAUGGGUUGUAAACUGCUUUUAUAAGGGAAUAAAGUGGGAGUCGUGACUCUUUUUGCAUGUACCUUAUGAAUAAGGACCGGCUAAUUCCGUG
rnacentral:rRNA from 1 species